rnacentral:rRNA from 1 species
UGGGGAAUAUUGGACAAUGGGCGAAAGCCUGAUCCAGCCAUGCCGCGUGUGUGAAGAAGGUCUACGGAUUGUAAAGCACUUUAAGUUGGGAGGAAGGGCAUUAACCUAAUACGUUAGUGUUUUGACGUUACCGACAGAAUAAGCACCGGCUAACUCUGUGCCAGCAGCCGCGGUAAUACAGAGGGUGCAAGCGUUAAUCGGAAUUACUGGGCGUAAAGCGCGCGUAGGUGGUUUGUUAAGUUGGAUGUGAAAUCCCCGGGCUCAACCUGGGAACUGCAUUCAAAACUGACUGACUAGAGUAUGGUAGAGGGUGGUGGAAUUUCCUGUGUAGCGGUGAAAUGCGUAGAUAUAGGAAGGAACACCAGUGGCGAAGGCGACCACCUGGACUAAUACUGACACUGAGGUGCGAAAGCGUGGGGAGCAAACA